rnacentral:rRNA from 1 species
UUCCCCUAGUAACUGCGAGUGAAGCGGGAAAAGCUCAAAUUUAAAAUCUGGUGGUUUUGCCAUCCGAGUUGUAAUCUGGAGAAGCGUUUUCUGUGCUGGACCGUGUACAAGUCUCUUGGAACAGAGCGUCAUAGAGGGUGAGAAUCCCGUCCAUGACACGGACACCCAGUGCUAUGUGAUACGUUUUCAAAGAGUCGAGUUGUUUGGGAAUGCAGCUCAAAAUGGGUGGUAAGCUCCAUCUAAAGCUAAAUAUUGGCGAGAGACCGAUAGCGAACAAGUACCGUGAGGGAAAGAUGAAAAGCACUUUGGAAAGAGAGUUAAACAGUACGUGAAAUUGUUGAAAGGGAAACGCUUGAAGUUAGUCGCGUCUUACUUGACUCAGCCUUGCUUCGGCUUGGUGUAUUUCAUGUGAGACGGGUCAACAUCGAUUUUGACCGGCAGACAAGGGGAGUAAGAAUGUGGCACUCUUCGGAGUGUGUUAUAGCUUAUUCUCAUAUGUGUCGGUUGGGAUCGAGGACCGCAGCGCGCCCUUGUGGCCGGAGGUUCGCCUCACGUUACGCGCUUAGGAUGUUGGCAUAAUGGCUUUAAGCGACCCGUCUUGAAACACGGACCAAGGAGUCUAACAUGCUCGCGAGUGUUAGGGUGGAAAACCCUUGCGCAGAAUGAAAGUAAAAGUUGGGAACCUCCGCAAGGGGGCGCACCGACGCCCGGCCCAGAAGUUUACGGACGGUGCUGCGGUAGAGCGCGUAUGUUGGGACCCGAAAGAUGGUGAACUAUGCCUGAAUAGGGCGAAGCCAGGGGAAACCCUGUGUGGAGGCUCGUAGCGAUUCUGACGUGCAAAUCGAUCGUCAAAUUUGGG